rnacentral:rRNA from 1 species
GACGAACGCUGGCGGCGUGCUUAACACAUGCAAGUCGAACGGAAAGGCCCUGCUUUUGUGGGGUGCUCGAGUAGCGAACGGGUGAGUAACACGUGAGUAACCUGCCCUUGACUUUGGGAUAACUUCAGGAAACUGGGGCUAAUACCGGAUAGGAGCUCCUGCUGCAUGGUGGGGGUUGGAAAGUUUCGGCGGUUGGGGAUGGACUCGCGGCUUAUCAGCUUGUUGGUGGGGUAGUGGCUUACCAAGGCUUUGACGGGUAGCCGGCCUGAGAGGGUGACCGGCCACAUUGGGACUGAGAUACGGCCCAGACUCCUACGGGAGGCAGCAGUGGGGAAUAUUGCACAAUGGGCGGAAGCCUGAUGCAGCAACGCCGCGUGCGGGAUGACGGCCUUCGGGUUGUAAACCGCUUUCGCCUGUGAUGAAGCGUGAGUGACGGUAAUGGGUAAAGAAGCACCGGCUAACUACGUG